rnacentral:rRNA from 1 species
UACGGGGGGAGCAAGCGUUGUUCGGAUUUACUGAGCGUAAAGGGCGCGUAGGCGGCCUCCGCAAGUCAGUUGUGAAAUCUCCGAGCUUAACUCGGAAAGGUCAACUGAUACUGCGGGGCUAGAGUGCGGAAGGGGCAACUGGAAUUCUUGGUGUAGCGGUGAAAUGCGUAGAUAUCAAGAGGAACACCUGCGGCGAAGGCGGGUUGCUGGGCCGACACUGACGCUGAGGCGCGAAAGCCAGGGGAGCAAACGGG